GCCUUGAUAGUUUAGUGGUAAAACAAGCCCUUGGUAAGGGCUAGAGUGUGGGUCCGAUUCCCACUCAAGGCU
rnacentral:tRNA from 1 species